CUGUUUGAUCCUGGCUCAGAUUGAACGCUGGGGGAUGGCCUUGGACAUGCCAGUGGAACGGUUACAGGAAACAGCUUGCUGUUUCGCUGAAAAGUGGCGGACGGGUGAGUAAUGUCUGGGAAACUGCCUGAUGGAGGGGGAUAACUACUGGAAACGGUAGCUAAUACCGCAUAACGUCGCAAGACCAAAGAGGGGGACCUUCGGGCCUCUUGCCAUCAGAUGUGCCCAGAUGGGAUUAGCUAGUAGGUGGGGUAACGGCUCACCUAGGCGACGAUCCCUAGCUGGUCUGAGAGGAUGACCAGCCACACUGGAACUGAGACACGGUCCAGACUCCUACGGGAGGCAGCAGUGGGGAAUAUUGCACAAUGGGCGCAAGCCUGAUGCAGCCAUGCCGCGUGUAUGAAGAAGGCCUUCGGGUUGUAAAGUACUUUCAGCGGGGAGGAAGGGAGUAAAGUUAAUACCUUUGCUCAUUGACGUUACCCGCAGAAGAAGCACCGGCUAACUCCGUGCCAGCAGCCGCGGUAAUACGGAGGGUGCAAGCGUUUAUCGGAAUUACUGGGCGUAAAGCGCACGCAGGCGGUUUGUUAAGUCAGAUGUGAAAUCCCCGGGCUCAACCUGGGAACUGCAUCUGAUACUGGCAAGCUUGAGUCUCGUAGAGGGGGGUAGAAUUCCAGUGUAGCGGUGAAAUGCGUAGAGAUCUGGAGGAAUACCGGUGGCGAAGCGGCCCCUGGACGAAGACUGACGCUCAGUGCGAAGCGUGGGGAGCAAACAGGAUUAGAUUACCCUGGUAGUCACGCCGUAACGAUGUCGACUUGGAGUUGUGCCCUUGAGGCGUGGCUCCGAGGCUAACGCGUUAGUCGACC
rnacentral:rRNA from 1 species